AACGAACGCUGGCGGCAUGCCUAACACAUGCAAGUCGAACGAGACCUUCGGGUCUAGUGGCGCACGGGUGCGUAACGCGUGGGAACCUGCCUUUAGGUUCGGAAUAACUCAGAGAAAUUUGAGCUAAUACCGGAUGAUGUCUUCGGACCAAAGAUUUAUCGCCUUUAGAUGGGCCCGCGUUGGAUUAGCUAGUUGGUGGGGUAAAGGCCUACCAAGGCGACGAUCCAUAGCUGGUCUGAGAGGAUGAUCAGCCACACUGGGACUGAGACACGGCCCAGACUCCUACGGGAGGCAGCAGUGGGGAAUAUUGGACAAUGGGCGAAAGCCUGAUCCAGCAAUGCCGCGUGAGUGAUGAAGGCCUUAGGGUUGUAAAGCUCUUUUACCCGAGAUGAUAAUGUCAGUAUCGGGAGAAUAAGCUCCGGCUAACUCCGUG
rnacentral:rRNA from 1 species